CCGGGCGGGAAGGCGGCGGCCGGAUGCGGGCCGGGCGGGAAGGCGGCGGCCGGAUGCGGGCCGGGCGGGAAGGCGGCCGCUGACGUGCGCUGUGAGCCCCGAGACCCGGAAGAGGCUCCUGGCCCGACGGCCUGGCCUCGGCACCCACAGGCUGCCACGUUUUGACAGAGACGGCCCCAAAGGCCGGGCUGCGGCCAGGUGGAUUCCUCAUGGUCAAGAAGGAAAAUACAUUUGAUGUUGUGUUCACUCCGGCUACGGCAUCCUGAAAGGAAAAUAAAAGCCCAGGACCCGCAUCGACUCUGCUGAGGAAGGAAUGAAGCUGGAAGCUGAGCCCUGCAAGCAGCCACCUUUCCUUUUGCUCCUAAGCAGAGAGUGACAGAUAGAAGGCAGCACGUCUCCACAGGCUGCUCUAUGUCCACCUGUCCCAUGGGAAGAGCAGAGUUGCGGAGCAGGAGAUGAAUGCAUGGUUGACGGUUCUGCUGCCUGUCCUUUCCUCUUGCCAAAUGUGGAUGAACACACCCUCCCUCUUUCCCCUCUAGCCCCACUUUCCCCUUCAAAUAUCGACACCUUCAGCAUCAUCUUUGGAGAAAGGUACACACCAUGGACUGUUUUUGUGAUUCUGUGUUAUUUUUCUCCUGAGCGUGUGCUGAACACUGGCAAAAAAAACUUCUAAAUUGAUUGAGACCCAUCGGCAAUACUUUUUGGUUUACGACAGGAGUUGGGGUGAGACUCCACCACAUUUGCACCAUGCAGAGCUGGAAGCGGGAGGAAAGACUGAAUCUUGCCUGGAGGCUUUGGCCCUGAAGGUUCAAUUCUGGAUGAUCCUUUACAGGUCUUGAAGAAAGAGUGUCUGGCUGCUCUGUGGAGACGGGACCAUAAGGGGUGAUGCCCAAGAGGAAUGGCUACCACCCAGGUGGAUGUGGCCUGGGUGGGGUGAGAGGUGCAGAUGGAGAGAGAUCCUACUUGUGGGAGGAGGGAAGGUCAACCUCGGGUGGAGAAUCCCCAGGGCCCUGGCAUCUCUGCCCUUUGAUAUGGAGCUAAGGGAACUCUGUAGGAGGCGGCAGUUUGGACCCAGCUGCUGCACAGGGUCCAGCCAACCAGACCAGACCGGAGGUCUCACACCACUGAGGAGGAGCCAGGAUCUUUAUGUGACUGCCAGAGACAUCAGGAGAAAGCCCACAGAAGCCGAAUCUCCAAACAGGCUGGUCCUAGCUGGCAUGGGGAAGCUGUUCAUGUUGUAUCCUGAGUGUUUUUCGAGAAAGCUUUGAUGAGAGAAAAAAGUCACACAGAAAGGUGCCCGCAUCACAAGUUUCCAGCUCCAUGGGUUUUUGCAAACUGAGCACACUCGUGGGCCAGCAGCGGGCCCCCAGCGAGGACGCCCUUCCUGCUGCUCCUGCCGCCCGCCCGAGGCACGGCAGGGGCUGUUUCUGGAAUGAUCUAGAAGACACAGAAGAAGUAACUGGCUUCACACAGGAAGUUCUGUGGCUAGGUGAACAAGCAGGACAAGGUGGGAUUUUACUUAUUUGUUUUUUAUUUUAAAAUUCGAACCAAGUAAACACAUUAAAAUACCUUCAAAUAUUAAAAUAAACAGAUUUUGAGAAUGACGUCAGAGCUGCCUCUGCAGGAGCAGCCAAGGCCUCCCCCUCUUUCUAGGCCACAGUGGUCUGGGCUCAACACCAGCCCGUCAGGUGAGAAGCAGAGAAGCCGCUGGGUGGGUGCAGGCCGCUCAGGGACCUGGCUCACUCUCCCGGCUUCGCAGCUUCAGGGGCUGGGUGGGGCUGUCACCCCAGGGGCCAGGUUCCAGGGCCCCAUUCGAGACGCACCCCACCACACGCACAGGCAAGCACACCUUCCGGGGUGUCAGCCGUAUGGAGCCUUAGGCUGCUUCCGAGCGGAGCCCAUGACCCUUGGUUCCUUUAGAAAAAGGAAUGAUUUUUCUUAUCCCAGGUGCCUCUUUCCUAAAGUGGAGCAGAGAGCGGUGCCCUCACCCAUGUUCCACGCAGCCUGGUAUUUGCUCACCAGACGGAGGCCGCCUCUGCAGCCGGCCCCGGGGAGCUCUGGAGGAAGGUCGUUGGGGCUGGUGCUUCCCACAGCGCGGAGCCCUGGCCUUGGGGUGCUAGGCAGAGGUGGGGGUGCCGUUCCAGGCUGCUGGCCUGGCUCUGAGUCAGCCCCAGGGAGGGGCAGGGAGGCGCCCAUGGCUCGGUAAGGGAGGCCCCACUCCAGGCCGUCACAUUCAGUGUAGCCUAAAGCUGCGACUUUAUGUAUUUUAAGUUCGGCCCAGAGGUUUUUCUGCACAUCCUGAACUAAAUGGAGCUGUACACAGACCGUGGCCCACCCUUGUGCCCGUCACCGAGAUUUGGCUGAUCAGGUGCAGAACCCUGUUAAAAUAAGGCAUACGUGGCUGUGGCCAACCUGGCUGUCCCUCACUUCCAUUUCCGUCUGUCCCUUUCCUUCCCUGUCCAUAAAGCUUCCUCCCCCAUGCAGCUGUGCUGGAGGCCUGAGAGCCCCUGGGCUGGGAAGGCUGCAGGAUGAUGGCUCAGUUAAACUCUGUGAAACUUAAUUUGCCUGAAGUUUCUCUUUGAUCAAGGACUUUGACUGUGGGGUCAGACACCCCAGACAGAGCCCUGGGGCCCCCGCACAGGCUCUUUCGGGUUGGGAAGGAGCUGGUGACCCUGGCCCAUCGUUCCGCCUGUGCCAGCUCCUCCCAGGGCCCCCAGGACAGGCUCUGUGGGUCAUUCUUUGUAACAUCAGGUUCCAGGUCCACCUGCUGCAGCUCCUGACUCCACAAGUCUGAGCCAUGGGGUUCCUGGUGUCCUAUAGGCGCCUUUAGUGACAGUUGGUGAGCCCCCUCUUGCCCACGGUCUCCCCGGUCCACACAGAGUGUGUCUGUUGUGCGUGGCGCCUGCAUGCGUGGCGGGCAACCUGGUGCCUGGUCCCCUGUACUCUGGGCCAGUCAGUGUGGAGUGUCAGGUGUUUUUCGUCCACACCCUUCUUCCUCCCCGCACUGCGAGUAUCUGGAUACAUUAGGGACCUCACUGCGGAAUUUGUCACAGGAGCUGCGGAGCUAUGAAUCAGGCACUUGAUCAAAGUGAAGUAAAUUCUGUUUAAAAUCAUAGCUUGCGGCCAUGGGCACUGCAGCCCACCCAGGCGCACUUCCAGGAGAAGCCCACACCUGACUGCUUUGUCUGUUUCUCUUCAGCAGCCAUGGAAAAGAGCUGUUUGCCUCCUGUGUUUUCUUUUCUUCUAGCUGCGAAAACGGGAGCCCAGGAUGUUCUUGAACAAGGUGGAAUCACCCCAAAUAAAAUGCCUCCUGCUGGUAAAACUCCGAGAACGCCCACUUCGCAUUUCCAGGCUCCGGGAUUGCCAUGCGUCUGCGAAUUCUACGACACAGCCAGUUCCCGCUGGGAGCUGAUCCAUUUUGUCUAAAGCACCAGCUUUUUUGAGCAACAAGCUAAAACCAAGGUUUUUCAGAUGGUUUGCCUCCCACAAAGGCAAAAUAACCCAUGGGGGAUCAUUUGACAGCUCCACACCUGGGCCCCGGGACAGGAAGAGGCAAGCCAGGCCUUCCUUCCACUGUGGCUUGUCUCCUGCCUUUCCCACCACAGACCUAACUCCAUUCAGUAUGUGCCAAGGCCCUGGCUUCAGCAUCCCUCACACCCCUCAGAGCCCAGCCCCACUCCGCUUCCCAGUCGCCAGGCUACCUGGAGCACAGAGCCUCUCCCCACCAAUUCUUCCCUUGAGACCGCAUCUUCUCCGAGGCUCUGGAGGGGCACACGCCCACCUCAACCUCCUCACUUGUUCACGUGCAACUGGAAGCUUGACGAGCGUGAUCAGCCAGAGAUCUGAAUCACCAGAAUGUCUGUCUGCAUUCUCUUUCAGGCUCUGCAAAAUGCUAAGCCUUCAACUGUUUUAAAGUUUAAAUCCUCUCACUGGUAAGUGAAUAAUUAUCCUAAAAAGUAGACUCUUCUGGAAGAAAGGUCACUAAAAGGGUUAUUUCCAUUAAAAAUACAUUUGUGUUUCUUGAGAUGUGUUAAGUGGCCUUUAUCAAGGUGCUUGUAAUAGAGGAGCACAUAAAGAUGAAUUUGUCUGGAGACGCAGCGUACUUCAAAGAUUUGUCACCAGGUAAUUAAAAAUACAUAAACCAUGCUAACAUUUCCAUAUAUAUAUGGAGAACAUUAACUCUCCUGCUAUUGAAUUAAAAAAUGCCAGAUUUUGUAAUUAUACUAUAUUGAGUUAUACUAUAUUGAAAAGUGCCAAUUACUCACUUUUAAAUUUGACAAUGUAUGUGACAAAUUAUAAAUUUAAUAGCCUACAUCUUUUCUCUUUUAUCAAAUUCGCAAAACUUAAACUUUGUUACUGGAGUUACAAGGCUGCUACUAAGAUGGAAAAAUACCCAUUUAGAAAAAUAUAAUGUAUAUAAUGGAAACAUCUGUUAAUUUAAACAUAUACAUUAUGCAAAUGAGCACAAUACUUUGUACUUUCAGGUCAGAGAGGAUAAAAAUAUGCAAGUUGUGUUGUGCCUAGAUUUGCAUCAUUUUAUAAUAACAAAGAAUUUAAAAGCUGUAAGAUUGUCUAGCCCUUCCAUUAAUGGGACAAAAAAUUAAGGAUAAGAAAAAUGAAGCAAUCAGUUAAAGAUAACAACGGCUGGGCUUCACCGUGUGACUCCCAGGCUAGUGCUGUUUCCACACCGCUUCUCCAGCGUGCGGACUGGGUCAGAUCUCAAGCAGAAGUCUUGACCAGCUGUGAGGCUGCCUGACAAAUGUCACCUAAGUUCUACACGACUUUUCAAGGACAUUGACGGUUGUCAGAACGAAAGUGGAGUCGCUUUUGUUGAAACCUGGAGGAGUGGAGCUGGGGAGGGCCUUGAGGGGGCCCUGCUGCAUGAAAGCCUGAUGACGAGAGCUAUCAUGGAAGACGCUGCAGACACCACAUCCCUGCGUGAGAGCCCCUGCGACCUCACACAGAAAGCACCGCUGUGAGGACAUCUGCCCGGCAGCCGCCUGAACAGCCCCACCCUGGUGCCACCCAAGGGUAAUUGUCUCCAAACCACUUACGUUUUCUUUAAAAACUCGUGUCUUCCUUGACCUCCCUGCGUGUACCCAGUGGCUCCAUGGUAGUGCUCCAUUUGCAAACACACUGUUUUCCUUGGAGCGUCUUCCUCCCUUCCUGUCUCCCUGCGUGUACCCAGUGACUCCAUGGCAGCGCUCAAUCGCAAACACACACAGUUUUCCUUGGAGCGUCUUCCUCCCUUCCUGUCUCCCUGCGUGUACCCAGUGACUCCAUGGCAGCGCUCAAUCGCAAACACACACUGUUUUCCUUGGAGCGUCUUCCUCUCUUCCUGCCUCUUGUUUAGGUCGGCAAUCCUAAAAGUCAGAUGACGAAGAACUGAGAAGAAAGUCCAAACCUGUUUUCAGGGUGAACAGUCUCUCAAUGCUGUGUCGUCUUGGAGUAGUGCUUGCUUUCACCUGGAUCUGGUGUCUUCUUUCCUGCUGUUAUUUUUAUUUCUUAAUAUAUUUUCCAUCCUCUGUUGUUCUGUGUUCACCCUGUGGGUGCCAAAGUAACUGCUUUUUUGCAUUGUUGGAAUUUGCCACUUGAUAUUGGAAACAUUUUUAAAUCGAUGUGGUUAUGCUAUACAUCAUUUUAAUGAGCAUUUCCCACUUUACGUUUUUUUUCUAAUCACUUAUUACUUGAUGUUUAUUUCAGACUGUGGAAAUGAUGUUAGGAGAAAAGCACAUUUGAGCAAUUUUCUUAUUCAGGUUCAAAGUGGGUCCUAAAGCCGCAGAGACAACGGGCAUCAUCGACAACACAACGGCCCAGGAGCUGCUAACGAAUGUACAUCGCAGCGGUGGUGCAAGGAGUCUUGCAAAAAAGACGAGAGCCUUGAAGACGAAGCUGACGACACGAGCAGAGAGCCAUCAUCAGGCAGAUUCUCUGACAGCCAAGGAACUCAACGCCGGCCGUUCUGUGCCUGUUCAGUGUGAAGCAAAUGGGAAAGGUGAGAAAGCUCGGUAAGUGAUUGCCUUACGAGCUGAGUGAAAAUUGAAAAAGAAAAUGUCGUUGUGAAGUGUCCUGUUCUCUCAUUCUGCACAACAAUGAACCGUUUCUCAAUCAGAUCCUGACGUGUGAUGAAAAGUGGAUUUUAUACAACAAGCAGCGAUGACCAGCUCAGUGGAGAAGAAGCUCCUCAGCACUUCCCAAAGCCAAACUUGCCCCAAAAACCAGUCCCGGUCCCCAUCUGGAGGUCUGCUGCCGUUCUGAAUCCCAGUGAAGCCGUUCCACCUGAGGAGUGUGCUCAGAAAAUCAGUGAGAUGCACCAAAAACUGCAGCGCCUGCAGCUGGCACUGGUCAACAGACAGGGCCCAGUUCUUCUCCACAACAAGCCGACCGCACGUCACACAAACCAGCGCUUCAAAAGUGGAACGAAUUGGGCUACAAGUUUUGCCUCAUCCACCAUAUUCACCUGACCGUCACCAACAGAUGACCACUUCUGCAAGCAUCUGGACAACUUUUUGCAGGGAAAACACUUCAACUCCCAGCAAGAUGCGGAAACUGCUUUCCAAGAGUUUGUCGAAUCCUGAAGCAAGGAUUUUUGUGCUACAGGAAUAAACAAACGUUUCUCAUUGGCAAAAAUGUGCUUGAUGUAAUCGUUCCUAUUUUGAUUAAUGAAAAUAUGCUGAAUGUAAUGGCUCCUAUUUUGAUUAAUGAAGAUGUGUUUGAACCUAAUUUUAAUGAUUUAAAAUUCACAGUCCAAAACCACAGUUACUUUUGCACCAAUCGAAUAUGUUCUGCUGUGUGUGCCAUCCACUUGACUAUAUUCAAUCACUUAUUUAUUUGUUUAUUAUACUUUAAAUUCUG